CAGCCGCCGCGGGAAUACAGAGGGUGCGAGCGUUAAUCGGAUUUACUGGGCGUAAAGCGUGCGUAGGCGGCUUUUUAAGUCGGAUGUGAAAUCCCUGAGCUUAACUUAGGAAUUGCAUUCGAUACUGGGAAGCUAGAGUAUGGGAGAGGAUGGUAGAAUUCCAGGUGUAGCGGUGAAAUGCGUAGAGAUCUGGAGGAAUACCGAUGGCGAAGGCAGCCAUCUGGCCUAAUACUGACGCUAAGGUACGAAAGCAUGGGGAGCAAACAGGAUUAGAUACCCCUGUAGUCCCUGUCUCUUAUAC
rnacentral:rRNA from 1 species